rnacentral:rRNA from 1 species
UCCCAGUUCGGAUUGUAGUCUGCAACCCGACUACAUGAAGCUGGAAUCGCUAGUAAUCGCGGAUCAGAAUGCCGCGGUGAAUACGUUCCCGGGUCUUGUACACACCGCCCGUCACACCAUGGGAGUCGGAAAUGCCCAAAGUCAGUGACCCAACCGUAAGGAGGGAGCUGCCGAAGGUGGAGCCGGUAACUGGGGUGAAGUCGUAACAAGGUAUC